GAAAAUGCCUCUACAAUCGUGGAAAUCAAACCCCAAUUUGAUCGAAAAAUUGUCGACAAAAAGCCACGUCACUUCUCGUCCGCAAGCUUUAAAUUUAGCCAAUAAUCGAUCGACAAGUUUGGGCGGGAAUUUGAAUUCGCCGGAUAAUUACGAGCUUUUCUACACACCGAGGGCCACUUUUAAGCAGAAGGCCGAAGAAAAUCAUCUGGAAACCCUGAAAAUGCCGGAAAUUGCACUGAAUCCAUCGGAAACCCCUUACGAAACCCCGAAACUAUUCGAUUCAAACAUUCGUAAAACGAAAAAAGGAUUUCGAGUUAGUUUUUCGAAUCGCCGCGUUUUUAUCAAUAGAGCACGUUUACAGCGCUUCGACACCACAUCGCCCUUUAAGCAUCCUGACGUCAGAGAUCUUCUGAAAUCCGCGAAACGGAGACUUCGAAAGAUUACGAAUUAUAAUUAUCAAGGCAAGUCAUUAGAAAAUCAUUUUAAAACAUUUUUUUUGCCUAAAAAAACAAAAAAAAAUCUUGUAAAAAAAAUUACGUGAAAAAAAACGUUUUUUUUCCACAUUUUUUAACUGAAAUUUUUUUUAAUGACUUGCCUAACGCCACGUCACCACUCUGUUUAUUUUUCCGUUUGACCCCCUCCGACGCACGUUCGAGUGCCCCUUCCUAACAGUCUAACUCUCCCAUUUUCCCACACACUUUUGCCGUCUGCGUCUCUCACACUCUCCUCAUUUAGCCAUCCCUGCUAACCUUCAACAAUAACACGGAUUACGAAGGAUUUGGCGCCAAAAAGGAUAUAUUUUUCUAUAAUUUCAACUUGAAAUGGAUAAUUAUAGCCUGUUGAGCAGUGAGGAUCACAUUGAAAUGCGGCAAUUUGCAGCUGGAAUAGGUUUGUUUUGAAUUUAAAUAACGAAAACUAAUUUGUUUCAAUACCCCAAAGUUGUGCAUUUUUGAACCGAAAAAUACAGUAAAAGGUCUUGACACGACCGAAAGCUUGCUGAUACCGUACCCACAAAUAAUUUUUGAUUUUCGAUUAAUUUUUCAAAUCAUAAAUUUUAAAAUAUGGUUUAAAAAAUAAGUGAAUCAUCCCAAAUUUGGAAAAAAAAAUACAAGAACAAUCAUAGAAAAUUACGAAAUAUCUGUGGUUACGGUAGCUACGAAAUUUCGGUCUCGUUGCGAGACCCGGGUACCGUAAUGUAAUUCAAUUGUUGCGUUAUUUCGCAAUUGAAGAAGUUCAUUUUCUAAAUUUUUCCCAAUGAAAAACAAAACUGAACUUAUUUUACUGAUCCCCGAAUUAAUUUUUCAAACUAAUAAUAUUUAAGUGACAAUAAAAAAAAAACGGUUUUUUUCUGAAUUUUAACAUUUUUAUUUAUUUAUCAAUUGAAAAAAAAACUUUUAAAACAAUUAAAUUUAAAUUGGUUUCAUCAUUUGAACCUCAUUUUUCAGAUCCCCACGCAUUCGGGAGAAGUCAAAAUAAUCGACGGGACUCGCUCAGCUCAGUAAAUGGAGAAGCCAG
rnacentral:sRNA from 1 species